rnacentral:lncRNA from 1 species
CUCAUACUCAGCAUGAUGAAAGUGAAACUUAAUUUUUUCCUUCUUUCCUCCUCUAUUUUCUGACACUGUCAUCCACUUUAGCGUCUGCUCUUUUAGAGCUUGGUCUAGUGUCACUGAAGUUAAUAGGAGAUUUUCCAUUCCCAUUGUAUGAGAGCAGGAGCAGGCCAUUACCAGGGCUCAUAACCUUCUUGCCACGUUCAGCUAUUUCCUCUUUGUUCCUGCUCCUUCUAUCAAGGUCAUUGCUGAACACUUUUUAUUCUUCCCCUGCGCUAUCUACAGAAACCAUUUCUUAUACAGAAACUUUACUCCACAUUCUGUGAUCUCAGGUGUUGACUGCAGUGACCUCCACAUUUCUAGCCUUCCUGGUUAUCGUAGCGUAAUUUAGGUUAGAAGGGACCUCUGGAGGUCACCUUGUCCAAAACCCUGCUGAAAGCAAGGCCAACAGAAAUCAAGUUGCUGAGGGCCUUCUCCAGUCAGCCAUUAAAAAUCUCUGCAACCUCUCUGGACACCUGUUCCACUUUUCGACUACUUUCAUGAAACAUAUUUCUGGAGUCUACUCAGAAUUUUCCUUGUUCAAACUUCUGUCUGUUGCUGCUCAUCCUUUCACUGUGUGCCUACGUGAACAGUCUGGCUCCAUCUUUUUAUGUCAUUAUCACACAGCCACUAUUUCUCAGGCUUUCCAACUAAACUCCUCCAACCUGCCGGCAUUCCAUGUCAGUACUGGGAAUGUCGAUCCCUUUCUGAAGUACGUGCUGAGUCUCUGCUGGCUACAUCUCCCUGUCCCCAAGGUGACAAGCCGGGGAGUCACCCAGAGCCAGCAUCUACCGCGUCCUGCGUCCCACAGGUCCCCGUGGGUGCUGGAGGUAGCUGAGGGGAUUUGCACAGUCCAAGGGCUCCAGACCUUGUUUAGCAGUGAUCCCGUGGCCAACUCGCCCAGGCGGUGCUGCCCAGCGGGGCUGCUGCUAGGGCAGACCGCGCAGCGCGCCGUCGGCCGCCGGGCACCCAGAUCCGUGCUGGGAGGCGGCGCAGGCUCCGGGCUGGCUCCACAGGCCAGCUCCUCUGUCCGCCGACGGCCAGCUUGUGAGCGCAGGAUGGGACCCAGUGCGGCUGCACCCGUCUCUGUCCCAGGCUGCGUCAGGCCGGUUCCCGCUCCUGGGCCAGGCCUGCUUCACGCUGCCGGCCGGCGGGCGCUGCUGGGCCUCCUGCUGCCGCCGUGCCUUGUGCCUCGCACACCCCAGCCCGCCCGCCUGCCCCGCGCUCUCGCACAAGGCCUCGUCGCUCCUGUCAGGCUGCCCUCCCCAAGGUCGCCGGCCUCGUGGCGGAGGCUGCCCUCAGCAAGCACCGCCAGCCAUCUCCCACCAGCAGGAAUGAACUGAAGAACUGCAUUUGUGCGUGCAGAGUGGUUGAGCUAGCUCUCGAGAGACUUGUCUCCAUCACGUGAUGCAUCUUGGUGCAGGGUAACGCUGUGCACAGGUAUGGUAGCACAGGAGAGCUCCUGGUGACAUGGGAGCCACAGUCCCAAGGGUUUAGACUCAGCAUAGAUAAGUAACUGUACUGCUUCCAGCUCCAGAUCGAGUUUGAUAGCCCUCAUUCAGGGACCCUGCACCGUGAGCAACUGUACUUAAAUCUUCUGUUAUCUCUUCUGACAUAAAAAUCUAUUGCUCCAUUACAGAUUCUGAGGGGGAGAAUGUAAGUAAGAAAACUAGUUCUUUCCAAAGGAGAAAAAGGAAAGAGAAAAGAGAAAUCAUUAGUUGGUUAAGAGCUGAAAGACCCAUAGGAGGAGUUUCGGGGAAGACUCUAUUACACUGACUUUAACAGUGUGCUUUGCAAGAAAUUGCUUCUUUCAGUGAUCUUUCAGAUGCACUAGAUGUAAAAAGAAAGAUGAGCCAGAAGAUUGUACUGAUCUUUAUAACAUGAUUAUCAUUCUCUGAUGUACUGAUACAUACACAGUAUACUUUUUUUUUUCACUCAGAAACACUGAUGCAUGUUCUGACUAGCAAAUAGGAAAAUAAGAGAUGGCAAAGCUGAAAAAGUCUGCCAAGAAAUUAAUGAUAAUAAUAAUAAUCGUAGGAUAUAGUGCAUCUUCUGUAUUGUAUGAAAGGAUUAUCUUUUCUAACUGUUGUGUGGACACCAAAGAAAUGUAACUUCUACAUGGCAAAAAAAAUGCAACAAAUCUGGAAAUGUAAGUGUUCAGAGGAACUUGCUACUUGAACUGCUUCUGGAAGUAAAGAACAUAAUUUUUAGGUUAGUCUAUGAAUUAUAUCUUCAGAACAGGCGCCUUCUUUGACUUACAGCCUCUAUUGGUCCUCUGAUACUUUUUAAACAUUAAGCAAUAUCUGUUCAGUCAAAUUAAGCAGCAGCCUCAAAUAUAGCUUU